GGGUUAUUUGUAACGGACAUCUCCUCUGCCCAUUACGAAUAAUGGGUUAUUCAUAACGGACAUCUUCCAUGCCUGUGACAAAUAACCCCGUUAUUCGUAACGGGCACCUAUUCUGCCCAUUACAAAUGAUCUAUGACCCAAUUAAAAAAAAAAAUUCCAGAAUAUGCUUGACAGCUAGCUAGCAUAAAUUUUAUAAAUAAAUGAGAGAAAAAUUUAUUUUAUACAAUGUAUGUAUAUGCUUCAUAUACAAUCUGCUUUUAUAUUUAUUCAUUAUUUCCUAAAAAAUAACAAAAAAAAAAACUAAAAAGAAAAAACAAAUGUCAAUUGAAAUUCUGUGACCCUUAUUGCAAGCUCCUUGUAAAAAGUACUCCAUAACAAGGUUCCUAUAUAGACCUGAAUCACCAUUAGUAUCUCCACCUUGAAAGAAGAAAUCUGCAUCAAAUUGAGAAGUUAUAAGAGCAAAUACUUACAAAGUUACAAGUAUUGACCAAACUAUAAUAGCUUACAUUUAGGGCUGGCAAAAACUAACCCGACCCGAAAACUCGACCCGAGCCCGACCUGAAAAAAGCGGGUUAGGGUUGAGAUUUUCGACUCGAAAACUUAAAUGAGUUGACACGAACUUGAACCCAAAAUUAAAUGGAUUAGGUUAAGGUUGAAAAUCUCAACCCGAAAACGACCCACUUAACCCAAAAUAAAUUUUAGGUCAAAAUCAUGUCGGGUCAACCCCAACCCGAACCCGACCUAAUAACCCGAACUAUUUUAAGUAAAAUAAAAAAAAAUAAAUAAAAAAUAUAUAUACAAAAAACGUAAAAAGCUUUAAAAGUGUAAAUUAGCCCAGCCCAAAUUCCUAAGUGGCUUCCACAUAUAAAAUAAAAACCCUAAAUUUUCAUUUUCUACCCUCAUUUUUUAUCAGCCGUUUUAUCCCCUUCUCUGUUCUCUCUCUUUAAUUUUCUCUCUCCUCAAAAACGACACACUUAAAAACCCUAAAAGGCUAAAAUCACUUCACCAUUGUUUUAUCAGAGUUCUUCCAGUCUUCACAAUUAUUGAAUUCGACUACAAUUGUUAUCUUCUCACUUCCAUACGGAAGUAAUUAUGUCCAACAAUAUUCUAGAACUUUCUUCUAGAGAGGAAGAAAUUGAUUCAACAAUGGAUAAUAAGGGAAAGAGAAAAAGCCACAAAGCUUCCCCUAAAAAACCUCGUGUGCUUCUUACUGUGUUGGAUCCACGAUAUAAGCUUCAAUGUGUCCAAUGGGGUUACAAGAGGAUCUAUGGAGACAGUGUUGAAUAUGAGCUUGAGUUCUCUAAGUUAGCGAUUCUAUAAGGGAAUUGUACAAUUCUUAUGCUGCAUCACAAUCUUCAUCAAGCAAUGAAAAUCUCAAAAUCUACUUAUUCUGAGGUUGUGAAGGAAGCUGAUGAUGAUAUUAUGAAGGAUUUUGAUGAUUUUUGUGGCUAUGAACUCAGAGAUGGAUAUGUAUUAUGAGGAGCCACUUAUGCCUCGAUCCAGCAACAUUGAUAUUUUAGCUUAUUGGAGAACUUGUUCAGUUCGUUACCCUGUUUUAGCUCAAAUGGCUAAGGAUGUUCUUUCUGUCCCCGUAUCAAAUGGCUAAGGAAGUCGGGUACUUGAUUGUUUUGAAGGUCAUUGAAGCCAGAAACAGUGGAGUCUAUCAUUUGCUUAAGGGAUUGGGCUUUUGGGGAAGACUCUAUGGAUCAAUUAUGAAGCUUGAGAUGGAGAACAAGAAUGAUACGCCACAUACAUCACCUGAUUUGAAAAACUUGAAAGCCCUUUUGAAUCCUCUAAUGUUAUUUGAGAACUUGAAUAUUUGAACUUGUUUGGUUUGUAAUUUGUUAGUACACUCUUGGUUUGUAAUUGAUAAUUAGGUACAGUACUUAGACUAUGUUGUUUUAUGUUGGACUAUUUCUUAUUUGUUAGGUUUGAUUGUUUGAAGCAUUUAAUGUUUGUGGUUUGAAACUUGGUUGUUCACUUAAGGUCAUAUUCAGAUUAAUUUCAGGUCAAAUUCAGGUUAA